AUUGAACGCUGGCGGCAGGCCUAACACAUGCAAGUCGAGCGGAUGAGUGGAGCUUGCUCCAUGAUUCAGCGGCGGACGGGCGAGUAAUGCCUAGGAAUCUGCCUGGUAGUGGGGGACAACGUUUCGAAAGGAACGCUAAUACCGCAUACGUCCUACGGGAGAAAGUGGGGGAUCUUCGGACCUCACGCUAUCAGAUGAGCCUAGGUCGGAUUAGCUAGUUGGUGAGGUAAAGGCUCACCAAGGCGACGAUCCGUAACUGGUCUGAGAGGAUGAUCAGUCACACUGGAACUGAGACACGGUCCAGACUCCUACGGGAGGCAGCAGUGGGGAAUAUUGGACAAUGGGCGAAAGCCUGAUCCAGCCAUGCCGCGUGUGUGAAGAAGGUCUUCGGAUUGUAAAGCACUUUAAGUUGGGAGGAAGGGCAGUAAGUUAAUACCUUGCUGUUUUGACGUUACCAACAGAAUAAGCACCGGCUAACUUCGUG
rnacentral:rRNA from 1 species